GCGGGGGUGCCGGAGCGGCCAAACGGGAUAGGUUCAGGGCCUAUUGGCUUAGUGUCUACGCGUGUUCGAAUCACGUCCCCCGCA
rnacentral:tRNA from 1 species